rnacentral:rRNA from 1 species
AUUGAACGCUGGCGGCAGGCCUAACACAUGCAAGUCGAACGAGUGGCGGACGGGCGAGUAAUGUCUGGGAAACUGCCUGAUGGAGGGGGAUAAGUACUGGAAACGGUAGCUAAUACCGCAUACAAUCAGAUGUGCUCAGAGUGGAUUAGCUAGUUGGUGGGGUAACGGCUCACCAAGGUGAAGAUCCCUAGCUGGUCGGAGAGGAUGACCAGCCACACUGGAACUGAGACACGGUCAAGACUCCUACGGGAGGCAGCAGUGGGGAAUAUUGCGCAAUGGGCGCAAGCCUGAUGCAGCCAGGCCGCGUGUAUGAAGAAGGCCUUCGGGUUGUAAAGUACGUUCAGCGGGGAGGCGUUACCCGCAGAAGAAGCACCGGCUAACUCCGUGCCAGCAGCCGCGGUAAUUC